UACGUAGGUGGCAAGCGUUGUCCGGAUUUACUGGGCGUAAAGAGCGCGCAGGCGGUCGUUCAAGUCGCGUGUUAAAGCCCCCGGCUCAACUGGGGAGGGUCACGCGAUACUGAUCGACUCGAAGGCAGGAGAGGGAAGUGGAAUUCCCGGUGUAGUGGUGAAAUGCGUAGAUAUCGGGAGGAACACCAGUGGCGAAGGCGACUUCCUGGCCUGUUCUUGACGCUGAGGCGCGAAAGCUAGGGGAGCAAACGGG
rnacentral:rRNA from 1 species